UACGUAGGGGGCAAGCGUUGUCCGGAUUUAUUGGGCGUAAAGAGCGUGUAGGCGGUUAGGUAGGUCUGUUGUGAAAACUCGAGGCUCAACCUCGAGACGCCGAUGGAAACCAUCUGACUAGAGUCCGGAAGAGGAGAGUGGAAUUCCUGGUGUAGCGGUGAAAUGCGCAGAUAUCAGGAAGAACACCCGUGGCGAAGGCGGCUCUCUGGGACGGUACUGACGCUGAGACGCGAAAGCGUGGGGAGCGAACAGG
rnacentral:rRNA from 1 species